rnacentral:rRNA from 1 species
ACGUGUAUACGACGUCCGCCUGCCAGUGUACUUUUACGGCCGCAGUAUCCUAACCGCGCGAAGGUAGCAUAAUCACUUGUUCUUUAAAUGGGGACUUGUAUCAACGGCAUCACUAGGGUUUUACUGACUCCUCUUUUAAAUCAAUGAAAUUGAUCUUCCCGUGAAUAAGCGGGAAUACCCCUAUGAGACGAUUUUACCCUAUGGAG